GACGAACGCUGGCGGUGUGCCUCAAACAUGCAAGUCGAGGGAGGGUUGGCGUCUGGCUUGCCAGACGUUCAACUCUACCGGCGAACGGGUGAGUAACACGUGGGCAAUCUGCCCUGAAGACGGGGACAACCUCGGGAAACCGUGGCUAAUACCCGAUACCCUCCUUGGGGGGCAUCCCCUAGGAAGGAAAGGUCCGCAAGGUCCGCUUCAGGAGGAGCCCGCGGCCUAUCAGCUUGUUGGUGGGGUCCACGGCCCACCAAGGCUAUGACGGGUAGCUGGUCUGAGAGGACGAUCAGCCACACUGGGACUGAGACACGGCCCAGACUCCUACGGGAGGCAGCAGUUGGGAA
rnacentral:rRNA from 1 species